ACAAAUUACUAAACUGUAAACAGUUAAUAUAAGAGAAAAAAAUAUUGUAAUCAAGAUAAAUGUUUUCAAAACGUGUGAUUAACUAGUCAAUUGUCUAUAAUCUGUUGACAGCCAUAAUCGUAUUCUGAUAAUACACGUUGGUGCUCAAAUAUUUUCAGAUGGCCCGUGCAAAGUCAUGCCACCAGUCUGAGGACAUCACUGGGAAUGGCACAUGGGACACGUGGCUUUCAACUCCAGCGAGGUGGGCUUCACCGCGGGCAAUCGUGGCAAAGACCCAAGUCGACUGGACCACAGCGGAAAAUGAUCCUUCCAGAGAAGAAGUUAUUUACUUCUACAACGAAUGGAAGAGUUACAACUUCCAGAUGACAGCUCUCCGCUCAUCCUUCUGGGCAACUUGAACAUCCGACAGAACUUAUGUGACCUACUGCGUUUAUUUUCUCCUUUAGCUCUCAUUUAAGUAUUAAAAUUCGCUGUAUUUUUGCAAGAGAGGCACCAAUCCUAUUUGAGUGACGUUUCGAAUGUGAAAUUGUAUUGGACCAUAUAGGUCAUCUGCAGAGCGUUGGCCCCUGGCGCAGUAAACCAGGGUUUGAUUCUUGGCAUGCACAAGACUCCUCAUGUGACUUAAAAUGAAUCCAGAAUGCAAUAUUUGUUCAGUAUGCAAGGGCAGUGAUUUAUUUAGUCAUGUUUGGUCAUGUUUUGGUUUUUUUACAUGACAAUAUGGUUUGGUACAUGCUGAGUUAAUGAAUAUACAUUCUAAAGUGCAAUGUCCAUAUGUGAAUAAGAGUUGUAUACGUUUAUCAUAGUCAACAUGGUGUGGAAAUAUCCCUUAUGUAGUUGGUCAAUAGGAACUAUAGUAGGCAGUAAUAACAGCUAAGGUAAUUACAGGUGGAUAUUUCUGGGAAUUAACCUUGAUUGAGACUGCAUCUAUGAUAUCUAAGAUAUACAGGACAAGAAUAAUGCACUGGAUGUGUAUAUGUGUUGAAUCAAUUAUACAGACGCAAACUGGAGAACGAGACAAGUGUUGCUGUGAUACUUAUUGUGGUCAUCGUGCCCGAGACCCGUAACAAUUACUCCGCAGGUCUUUUGCAGCGGGGCAACAGCCCGGCGUCGGUGGAUUCCGUUCGCGAGGCCGCAGAUUCAGACAUAUACAG